AUUGAACGCUGGCGGCAGGCCUAACACAUGCAAGUCGAACGAGUGGCGGACGGGUGAGUAAUGUCUGGGAAACUGCCCGAUGGAGGGGGAUAACUACGGGAAACGGUAGCUAAUACCGCAUACCAUCGGAUGUGCCCAGAUGGGAUUAGCUAGUAGGGGGGGUAACGGCUCACCUAGGCGACGAUCCCUAGCUGGUCUGAGAGGAUGACCAGCCACACUGGAACGAAGACACGGUCCAGACUCCUACGGGAGGCAGCAGUGGGGAAUAUUGCUCAAUGGGGGCAAGCCUGAUGCAGCCAUGCCGCGUGUAUGAAGAAGGCCUUCGGGUUGUAAAGUACUUUCAGCAGGGAGGCGUUACUCGCAGAAGAAGCACCGGCUAACUCCGUGCCAGCAGCCGCGGUAAUUC
rnacentral:rRNA from 1 species